GAGAGACCAGAUGUCUCCAGCCUAGCCUGCGACUGGGAAAAGCCGGCGGCCCAAGGCAGCCGCCAGGAUUGGCCGGGCCUGACCUGCGCCCGCUACCCGGAGGAUUUGCUGGGCCUGCUGAGCACCCACUGCCCCGAAGAACCCAUGGUCCUGGACCCCCCGGAGGACAACAACUGGAGCCAGGAUUUCUCUAUCUAGAUGACAGAUCAGGGUCUUCAAAUCACCGAAUUGCAACUGCACUUUAAUCAGCAAGAUCCUCAAGGAGACUCUGAGUAUCCAGGCAACCAGACAGAGGAGAAGGAGAAGCAAAGGAAAUUGCUCAGCUCUGUAGUCUGCCAGAAGAGACUGCUGGAAAAUUGAGCUUCAGAACCCUAAUCAAGAAUCAGGACCCCUUCCAUUCCUGCUCAUCAGAGCUUAAAAUGUAGGUGUUAGACAAAACACAACAAGUGAACAAGACAGACAAAAGGAGUCGAGGUGUUGGGAGGUCAAGACAACAACAAAAUAAAC